GUAAGGAAUAUUGGUCAAUGGACGAAAGUCUGAACCAGCCAUGCCGCGUGAAGGAUGAAGGCCCUCUGGGUUGUAAACUUCUUUUAUCUGGGACGAAAAAAGGGUAUUCUUACUCACUUGACGGUACCAGAGGAAUAAGCACCGGCUAACUCCGUGCCAGCAGCCGCGGUAAUACGGAGGGUGCAAGCGUUAUCCGGAUUCACUGGGUUUAAAGGGUGCGUAGGUGGGUAUUUAAGUCAGUGGUGAAAUCUCCGAGCUUAACUCGGAAACUGCCAGUGAUACUAUUUACCUUGAAUGCCCUGGAGGUAAGCGGAAUAUGUCAGGUAGCGGUGAAAUGCUUAGAUAUGACAUAGAACACCAAUUGCGAAGGCAGCUUACUACGGGGUGAUUGACACUGAGGCACGAAAGCGUGGGGAGCAAACAGGAUUAGAAACCCGUGUAGUCC
rnacentral:rRNA from 1 species